GUUGUGUGGUUCAACUUAACAAUCAAAUUCUUUGAAACCAGUUAAUGGAUGGAUCCUUGAAUAAUGUUAUACCAAUAUCAACAUGAUAUUCUGAUGUGUCUUUUUCAAGCUCCUGCCACUAGUUUCUAGUUGUUAGCCACUGAUGAUCCACUGACCGGAAACAAUAAAUUUGCUAAAUCUUCUUCAGGAAAAAUAUUUCAAUCCAAUCAAUUGUAGGACAU
rnacentral:lncRNA from 1 species